GGAGGAGCCAAGAUGGCCGAAUAGGAACAGCUGCGAUCUACAGCUCCCAGCGUGAGCGACGCAGAAGACGGGUGAUUUCUGCAUUUCCAUCUGAGGUACCGGGUUCAUCUCACUAGGGAGUGCCAGACAGUGGGCGCAGAUGCAGAUCUCAGAUAUAUUUUCAACUACGAAUAGAAUGUGAGUUCUUCAUGGAACACUUCGACUUUGCUCUCCAACUUAUCCAGGCCAUAUUCCCAAUGGCAAGAAUUAUAAAUGCAUUUCAACCACCGCAUUGGGUUUAUAACAUUUGAAGGAAAGGCCAAAUAGGGAACUGUCAAGCUUUUGCUGGAGAACCAAAACAGUAAGACAGGCACAAGAUAUUGUACCCCAGUGCUUAGCCUGUCGUGUUGUAACAUAACUAAAAGCUAUUUUUCACUCGCUUUGCUUUAAUUACCAAGGGUUUUGGUGUUCUAAAUUGCUACUGUCCAAGCAUCCCCUGAUAUAGCUGUAGUCCAAGAAGUUGAAGGGGUCCUAAGGGAAUUAAGGGAAUACAGCUGCAGCCCCCAACAAAUACCUCAAAUCCUAAAAUAUGCAAACUCUACAGAAUGAUUGAUGGUAUAUUCUCAGUAUUACUUCAAACUUCAUAAAGUGCUUGCAAACACAAUUAUCACUUCAGCUACAUCCUCCCUGCUUGUGAACUUGCUGAAAAAAUCUGCUUCUUAAUAAUAGCAGCUACCAUUUGUUAAACACUUUAAUCAAGCACUGCUGUGUGUUGUUUUGUUUGAUCCUCCCACAAUAACCUUAUUACAUAAGCAUUACUACAAUCAUAUCCACUGCCAGAUGAAAAAACUGAGAUACAGAGAAGUUAGAAGUCACACAAUUAGCAAGUGUCAGAGCUGAGAUUUCAACUGAUUGCCUGACAGCGGCACUCUCACUCAAACAGUAAGCUAUGCUGCUUUCUUGCUAAAUCUUUAUCAUGCCCAUAGCUUGGGUUUGCCUACAAAAAAAAGUUUGAGCCAUGAAUACAGCCCUUGACAUUUUAUUGACCAUGACAGAGGAAAAAAGGUGGCACAUGAUCACACUUACGAAAUUGUUUCAAGGAAAGAAAAAGUAGAGAAUCACAAGGACAAUCUAGUUAUGAAAAUAUUUACCUGAAUAGUCUCUGUAAUCAUUGUAGAGCAGGCAAGAGAAAUAAUAAGUUAUUGCCCAGGGACUCCAUCCCCUGAGCAUUCAAAAAGACAAGAACUCCUUCACAAUUGAAUUUAUAGCCAUUAAAUGUUUUCAUUGCAAUGUUUGCUUUCUUAUUCAAGUGACUGACUCCAGUUGGAAAUAUUUGGGGACCUCAAGAUAAAGCCUUGAUGGGAAUGUGGCAUGCCUUACAAAGUGUUACAAAAAGCAGGUCCAGGAUAUGAGACUUUAUUUCUUCUUAGGCAAUACACUGAGGUACCUCUGGGUCCAGCUCUUAAAAGCUAAUGCUUCCGUUCUCAAGUAGGCAGUGGAGCCACUGUUUUCUCAGAAUAAGAAGAUACUUCUUUCAGUUUGUGUGACAUUUGUGAAGAAGAAUUUUUCAAGUUUUCCUGAACACUUUUCCAUAUUUGUUGCAAUAAUAGAAGACUAUUCAAAUUAACCUCAUCCAUUCAGGUAUUUAACAUCAAUAUAUUCACAUUCAGAGAUAAAAGGAACUUUUCUAUCUGGAGAGCUUCUUAUUAACUGUUCUUAUCUGGUCAAAUUUCACUAGUCAGACCACAGGAAGUUGUAGAUCCUAGCACUGCCCGGAUAUUGGACUUUCUCCCACAUCUCUGCCUGGGAACUGCCAGCUGAGUUAUUGCUGUCGGAGAAGUAUGCAGUGUGUCUGGGCUUUGGGGUUAUCUGAUCAGCAGAGGCAUCGGUCUCUACUAAAUGGAAUGAAAAAGCCUACUGUGCAUUCUGUGCUGAUAUGUGACAGUCUUCAGAGAAAGGACUCCUUUCUUAGAUGGCAUGACCCAUUAAAUAUUGCUCCAGGUCAACAGAAGAAGGAAAUUGCUGUCCCGCCUCAGGUACCCAUCUGCUAUAACCCUUGGCCCUUUGCACCUCACUUUAUAGCCACUUGAAUCUAAGUGUCAUCCUCACCAGUCCUAUCCUACUGUGUGUUCCUGCAGAUAACAAUAGUGUCUUGGGCUUCCUGAGAUGCCACUUGCUAAAGGCCAAUGCCUUAUACUUGGUGCUCAUUCCAUAUUUGGCCAAUGUCAAAACUUUCAACAUUGCUUUAUUGAGCUCUCGAUACUGUUUUAUUGGCAUGUAAAGCCUGUCAUAAUUCAUCUUCGAAGGCAGUCAUCUUCAUUCCUUUCCACAUGGCACCAAUGUCAUUUCAUUAAUUUACCAGGUGGUAAAAACAUACUCAAAACCAUUCAUUCUGAGGAUCUUUUAGAUUUUUAAAUCUUUAUAUUUGUUCACCUCCAAUAAUAUGUCAUGAAAGCUAAUUUCUGGCCUUACAGACCGUAUGCUACUCCUAGGGGAGAGAAAAAUGGCAAAAUAAGUCCUUCAAUUCAC
rnacentral:lncRNA from 1 species